AGCUCCUGUUUUCCUGCUCAGAGACAGAAUGUACUGCCACCAGCUCCCAAGCCUGCCUGAUUUCAGGGAUUUUUGAGCAGGCACUAACCCUGGGGCAAGGCUGGGGGGAGCUUGAUCUUGGCCCUGGUCCUGGCUCUGGGCUCUCCUCCUCCCCGCAGCCAGGGGCUUGGUGGGCGGCGACCUGGAGCCAGGUGCCUUUCCCCCGUGUUAACUGCUCGCAGCUCCUACCCGGCAGGCUCCAGCAGGGAAUUUUCCACUGCCUGGUUGGAUUUAGCUCAUUUAGCGCGGCUGCCUUGACUUUUCGCAGUGAGGGGCGCUGGAAGGUGGGGGCACCCUCCCUGCGUUGGGGUCUUGGGGGCGGCAUGGGUCUGUGCGCGUUUUCACCUUGGCCCUGAGAGCAACUCCGCACCGAUCCUGCAGCCCUGGGGCGUGGGAGGCGCUGCAGCCCAGAGAGGAGAGCAGAGCCCUGCUGCGUGCGCUGCGGGGGGGUGCAGAAGCGGGUCAGCCCCCUCCCCUGAGCCUCCUCUCAGGAAGUCUGGAGAUGCCCUGUGUGGGUGAGGGGCCCCUCCCUCCCGGAACCGCCACCGCCCCCCAGCCCUGGGCCGACGAUGCCCUCUGGGUUCUGUUUUCAUUCCAGGCUGUGGAUCCGGCCGUGGGAAGCAGGUGCAGGGGCCCACAGGGGAGAGAGCUGCUGGGUCUGGGGCUUUGAUGAGACCCCCCCCAAACACCAAGGGACGCCCAGUGCCCUCCAAAAGGCCCACCAUAUCUGGACUGAGAACAGCACCCUGGCGCUGGCUCGCUCCCUGAGCCGGCACCUAAAGCUGUCUGGAGCCUGCAGAAGUGGGGAGGAGGAACCACAAACAAACACUCCUCGUUUGACCUUGAGUUCCAGUCCUGUCCAGCACGGAGUCAGCAGGCACGCACCUGUCCUGUGAAGCUUGGGAGAGGAUACGCAGAGGCAGCCACUGACAAAACUGUCAACAAAUAAAUAAUCCCAACAAACUUGCUUCUUCCCCCGCAUUGCCUAAGGUCUGUACUGCACCAUUAGAAAUCAUCCUUAAUAUCCAUCCAACGGGUCGCCUGCUAUUUAUCUUACAAAUCCCCCCCUAACCAUCUGCCAUCCCCACUACCACUGCCCCUGUGGGCCCUUGGCAUCUAUAUUAAUCAGUUUUUCUGCUGCUGUAACAAAACCUCAUAGAGAAAAGUGGUUCCUAUAGCUCUCAGUUCUGGAGGUUGAAAGUCCAAACAGCAUGGUACAGGCCCUGGUGAGAGUCCCAUGGCUAAUGAGGACAGGAAGCCAAACUGCUGAAUGGGGCCCAGCUUGCUGUUGGUUGUUUUUUAAGAUUUAUUUAUUAAUUUGAAAGGCAGGGUUAGAGAGAGACAGAGAGAGGGAGAGACAUAGAUAGAGGUCUCCGCUGGUUCACUCCCCAAGUGGCCACAACAGCUGGAGUUGGGCUGAUCUGAAGCCAGGAGCCAGGUGCUUCUUCUAGGUCUCCCAUGUGGGUGGUAGGGGGCCAAGCACUUGGGCCAUCUUCUGCUGCUUUGCCAGGCACAUUAGCAGGCAGCUGGAUGGGAAACGGAGCAAUCAGGACUCCAACCGGUGCUCAUAUGGGAUCCUUGCUGUGCCACAAUGCCAGCCCCUCCAAUGUUUUUGUUUGCACCCAAUUCCCUGUAUUAAAUCCCUUUCUGCUCGAAACACUCUGAGUGAUUUGUGUGUUCCUGACUAGCAAAGAUAUAAUGGCUGUGUUUGAAGAUACACUGUUUUUUUCUCAAACAAACAAACAAACAAAACAGAGCAGUAACAUGAGAGAAACAAUUAGGGUACAGGAGAGCAAGUCCAGGAGAUCCAACAUUCAAAUUAUAGGAGUUCUAGAAACAGAACUCAGAGGAAAGGAAUACGUCAAAGAAAUAGUUCAAGAAACAGUCCCAGAAUGAAAGGACAUACAUUUGCACAUGGAAAGGGCCCACCUAGUGCACCACACAUAGAAUAAAAAUAGAACCAGCCGGAGCUGGCUAAUCCUCCGCCUUGCAGCGCCGGCACACCGGGUUCUAGUCCUGGUCAGGGUGCUGGAUUCUGUCCCGGUUGCCCCUCUUCCAGGCCAGCUCUCUGCUGUGGCCCGGGAGUGCAGUGGAGGACGGCCCAAGUGCUUGGGCCCUGCACCCCAUGGGAGACCAGGAGAAGCACCUGGCUCCUGCCAUCGGAUCAGUGCCGGUGCGUCAGCCGCAGUGGCCAUUGGAGGGUGAACCAACGGCAAAGGAAGACCUUUCUCUCUGUCUCUCUCUCUCACUGUCCACUCUGCCUGUAAAAAAAAAAAAAAAAAUAGAA